rnacentral:rRNA from 1 species
AGGAGGCAGCAGUGGGGAAUAUUGCACAAUGGGCGAAAGCCUGAUGCAGCAACGCCGCGUGAGGGACGACGGCCUUCGGGUUGUAAACCUCUUUUAGCAGGGAAGAAGCGAAAGUGACGGUACCUGCAGAAAAAGCACCGGCUAACUACGUGCCAGCAGCCGCGGUAAUACGUAGGGUGCAAGCGUUGUCCGGAAUUAUUGGGCGUAAAGAGCUCGUAGGCGGUUUGUCGCGUCUGCUGUGAAAUCCCGAGGCUCAACCUCGGGUCUGCAGUGGGUACGGGCAGACUAGAAUGCGGUAGGGGAGAUUGGAAUUCCUGGUGUAGCGGUGGAAUGCGCAGAUAUCAGGAGGAACACCGAUGGCGAAGGCAGAUCUCUGGGCCGCUACUGACGCUGAGGAGCGAAAGGGUGGGGAGCAAACAGGAUUAGAUACCCCGGUAGUCU